rnacentral:lncRNA from 1 species
AAAGCUCUAAAAAUGAUGCACAAAUAUUAUCAAUAUGUUUGUAAGAAUUGAGAGUUGUUGUUAUCUAGAAAUGAGUCCCAAAGACCUCUAUUUAUAGAGUUUAGAAGUGUUAUCACCGUUGCUUAUUAGUUAAACAAGAAAUCUGAUUUUCCUGAAGAAUAAUCGAUUAUUAACUUUGCAUAAUUGAUUAUGUGACUUUAACGUUCAAAAAAUUGAACGUUGGAAGGCAACGGUCAGUGAAAUAAUCG